GUACUCGCGAAUGCAUCNAGAUUNAUAAUUUGAUCAUGGCUCAGAUUGNACGCUGGUCGGCAGGCCUAACACAUGCAAGUCGAGCGGAUGACGGGAGCUUGCUCCUUGAUUCAGCGGCGGACGGGUGAGUAAUGCCUAGGAAUCUGCCUGGUAGUGGGGGACAACGUUUCGAAAGGAACGCUAAUACCGCAUACGUCCUACGGGAGAAAGCAGGGGACCUUCGGGCCUUGCGCUAUCAGAUGAGCCUAGGUCGGAUUAGCUAGUUGGUGGGGUAAUGGCUCACCAAGGCGACGAUCCGUAACUGGUCUGAGAGGAUGAUCAGUCACACUGGAACUGAGACACGGUCCAGACUCCUACGGGAGGCAGCAGUGGGGAAUAUUGGACAAUGGGCGAAAGCCUGAUCCAGCCAUGCCGCGUGUGUGGAGAAGGUCUUCGGAUUGUAAAGCACUUUAAGUUGGGAGGAAGGGCAUGUAAGUUAAUACCUUGCUGUUUUG
rnacentral:rRNA from 1 species